GCUGGGGACAGAUGAAGUGGACAUGAGAAUCGAUGCCGCCGGCGGUGAGAAUGAGUCCCUCUCCCGCGAUGGCCUCGGUCGUCACGCCGACCACCAUUCCCUCGCUGACCCCGUCCAUGACAUCGGGGUUGCCGGCCUUGCCGAUCCCGGCGAUCUGGCCAUCCUUGAUCCCGACAUCGGCCUUAUAGAUCCCGGUGUGAUCGACGAUGAGCGCGUUGGUGAUGACGCAAUCGAGCGCGUCAUCCUGGCCGACUCCGGCGGCCUGCCCCAUGCCCUCGCGC
rnacentral:sRNA from 1 species